rnacentral:rRNA from 1 species
GAUGAACGCUGACAGAAUGCUUAACACAUCAGCAAUUGAUUGGUGGUGGACGGGUGAGUAACGCGUAAAGAACUUACCUCGCAGUUAGGGACAACAUUUGGAAACGAAUGCUAAUACCUAAUACUGUGAGAGAGCUUUGCGUCCCAUUAGCUCGUUGGAGAGGUAACGGCUCACCAAGGCGAGGAUGGGUAGCCGGCCUGGGAGGGUGAUCGGCCCCAAGGGGACAGGGACACGGCCCUUACUCAUACGGGAGGAAGCAGUGAGGAAUAGUGGAAAAUGGACCAAAGUCUGAUGAAGCAAUUCUGUGUGCACGAUGAAGUUUUCGGAAUGUAAAGUGCUUUCAGUUGGGAAGCGGUACCAACAGAAGAAGUGACGGCUAAAUACGUGCCAGCAGCCGCGGUAAUAC